rnacentral:rRNA from 1 species
CAGCCGCCGCGGUAAUACCGGCGGCCCGAGUGGCGGUCACUAUUAUUGGGCUUAAAGCGUCCGUAGCCGGGUUGGGAAGUCCUCCGGGAAAUCUGGCCGCUUAACGGUCAGAAUGCCGGAGGAUACUCCCAGCCUAGGGAGCGGGAGAGGCCGAGGGUAUUCCCGGAGUAGGGGGGAAAUCCUAUAAUCCCGGGAGGACCACCUGUGGCGAAGGCGCUCGGCUGGAACGCGUCCGACGGUGAGGGACGAAGGCCAGGGGAGCAAACCGGAUUAGAUACCCGGGUAGUCCUGGCUGUAAACGAUGCGGACUUUGUGUCGGACAAGCUAUGAGCUUGUCCGGUGCCGGAGGGAAACCGUUAAGUCCGCCGCCUGGGGAGUACGGCCGCAAGGCUGAAACUUAAAGGAAUUGGCGGG